rnacentral:lncRNA from 1 species
GUGACAUCUAUGUAUCAAGGGUGUAUUCAAAAUCGACCUGGAUGCUGGCAACAUGGCGCAUGCUUAAUUAGCAGUCCUUGCCUUUGGAGAUUCACACUUGGAACAGCACUAGCUGUACAGAAGUUGGAUAUAAUGGCAUCAUGUGGUAGAGAAGAGAUAGAGGUACCAAAGGCACUUACAUCACCAAACGAGAAAGAUGAGUUCAGAUGAGAAUUAAUGAAGAAGACACCUAGGUUUAUUUCCUUCUCACAUAAACAAGGUUUGUAGGUGGAUUUGGAGGCGGAUAGUUCUGGAUGUCUGGUGUCUUUACCGUCACUGGGAUUCAGGGUAAAGACUGACAUGGCUACCUCUCUUUAAGGAUACUUGUUAGCACAGUACUUCUGGUUAUACACUGUGUACCAUAGCUUAGCCAUACGUAGCUGCAAAGGAGUCUGGAAAGACACCCAGUAGCUGAAAACUAGUGGCUCACUAACUGGGAAUUAAGGACAGUUGUUGGGAGGAUAAUGUGCGUUGUUCUGUUGUUGCUAUUGUUGCUUUGUUUCUCUCUAGUUUAAGAAGUUCAGGCAGGGAGAGAGAACAUAUCUGGAAGCUUUCCUGAGGGAGGGAAUGCUUGAACUGAAUCUCAGGGGAAAGAGGGGACUGGAGUGGAGACUCGGAAAUCUACGAGAAAAGGAAGCAGGAGGAGCUCAAUAAUUUGCAUCGAGUUGGUGACAAAAAGACAAGGAAGCCCGGACAGGAAGUCCGAUUCGUCACGGAAAGGAAAGCGGCGGCUGGUAGACCCUCUAGGUCCACGGCUAACCUGAACUGGACCCUUCGGAAAUCACUCCAUCCCUGUGCCUCACCGUUUCACUGUUCUUAUGACUGAGUGUGUGGCAGAUGGUUAGUCUGGGGCUAGCACAGGGAAAGAAGGUAAAGUCAUGGUGUUUAAGAGAUGCGAUUCGGAAUCUCGCUUUCACUGCUCGGCUAGAGUCUCAGAGCACAGAGGUGAGGAAGAGAAGAGACAGGCAGAGCUGUGCCCUUCCCCUCAGAAAGCACAAGCAGGACCCUCUCAGGGAUAGGACCGCACUGUGGGGGUGGGACUUUGUAAGCCCCACCUCCACCCGGCAUAGACACACUGAAGGGCAUGGGAGACGACAAGAGAAUAAAGAAUUGUCCUAUUCUGUAAUAUGUUUAGGAUAUCGUCUCUAGAGUCGUCUUAUGUCUAAAAUAAAGCGUUCGGCUUACUGCAAU